CUAAACAUAAACCAAAACCCGGAAAUACUAAAUCAAACACCCUUUACACAAACACACCACCCCGAACCACAUAAAACAAAUACCCCCUGCCACGCCCUGACCAAACUACAAAACAAUUAACCUUAUAUACUGGCCAGGACGUGACAACGAGUCAAUUAGGUUACGAGUCAAUUAGCUGACGGGUCUAGUAGAUGACGAGUCAAGUAGAUGAUGAGUCAAGUAGAUGAUGAGUCAAGUAGAUGAUGAGUCAAGUAGAUGAUGAGUCUAGUAGCUGAUGUGUCAAUUAGCUGACGGGUCUAGUAGAUGACGAGUCUAGUAGAUGAGGAGUCAAGUAGCUGACGAGUCUAGUAGCUGACGAGUCUUGUAGCUGACGAGUCUAGUAGCUGACGAGUCAAUUAGCUGACGGGUCUAGUAGAUGACAAGUCUAGUAGCUGAUAAGUCAAGUAGAUGAUGAGUCAAGUAGCUCCUGAGUCAAGUAGCUGCUGAGUCAAUUAGCUGCUGAGCUAAGUAGAUGACGAGUCUAGUAGGUAUAUGUCAAGUAGCUGACGAGUCUAGCAGCUGAUGAGUUAAUUAGGCAAUGAGUCUAGUAGCUGAUGAGUCUAGUAGCUGAUGAGUGGCAAUACUCUCUCUCUUUUUCUAUCUCUCACUGAUUCUCUUUGUGUCACGCUCUUUCUUGCUUUCUUUUGAUCUCUCUUAUUUUCGCUCUCUCUCUCUCUCUCUCCCUCCGUCUCUCUCUCUCUCUCUUUCUCUCCCUUCAUCUCUCUCUCUCUCUCUCUUUCUCUCCCUCUGUCUCUCUCUCUCUCUUUCUCUCCCUCUGUCUCUCUCUCUCUCUUUCUCUCUCUCUGUCUCCCUUUCUAACCAUUCCCUCACACGGAAUAUCCACAGCAUACUUGGAAUGUCAGUGAAUGGAGAAGAACACAACAGAAACCAAAAUAGACAAUAUUGUAAUUCCUGAUGAGGAACUAACCACAGUAAUUUAGCGUUGGAACAUCAAGGACUGGAGGAAAGUCUCACUUCAGUAGAAACCUUUAUUGGUAUAGAAUUAACUGUGAAACGAAGUGCUUCACUGGUGUGUGUGUGUGUGUGUGUGUGUGUGUGUGUGUUGUGUGUGUGUGUGUGUUUCGUAAUUAGCUGUGAAAUGGCUUUACAGGAGUCUGUUACUCCUGGAUUUUUAUUGUCUCUUUUAGAUGAUAAUUAAACAAAGCGUGAGUGUGUAUGUGUGUGUGUGUGUGUGUGUGUGUGUGUCUGAGUCUGUGUGUCUGUGUCUGUAUCUGUGAACUGUAUUCCCAGUCAUGUGAAAUCCAUAGAUUAGGAUCUCAUGAAUUUAUUUCAAUGGACUGAUACCCUCAUAUGAUCUGGAACGAAGUAAUAUCUGUGAGACUGUUGAAUUUUGUUCAGUGUAUAUUUGAUAUCUUAUACAUUUGAGUUGUUAUGCACACGGUCUUAUCUAGAGCAACUUACAAUAGUGAGUGCAUGUAUUUGUUUUACUUUUUCAUACUGGUCCCCUGUGUGAAUCGAAGCCACAACCACAGUGUUGCAUGUGCUCUGCUCUACCAACUGAGCU
rnacentral:lncRNA from 1 species